GAACUGAGACACGGUCCAGACUCCUACGGGAGGCAGCAGUGGGGAAUAUUGCACAAUGGGCGCAAGCCUGAUGCAGCCAUGCCGCGUGUGUGAAGAAGGCCUUCGGGUUGUAAAGCACUUUCAGCGGGGAGGAAGGCGAUAAGGUUAAUAACCUUGUCGAUUGACGUUACCCGCAGAAGAAGCACCGGCUAACUCCGUGCCAGCAGCCGCGGUAAUACGGAGGGUGCAAGCGUUAAUCGGAAUUACUGGGCGUAAAGCGCACGCAGGCGGUCUGUCAAGUCGGAUGUGAAAUCCCCGGGCUCAACCUGGGAACUGCAUUCGAAACUGGCAGGCUAGAGUCUUGUAGAGGGGGGUAGAAUUCCAGGUGUAGCGGUGAAAUGCGUAGAGA
rnacentral:rRNA from 1 species